rnacentral:lncRNA from 1 species
UGUUUACAGGAGAAGGAGGGGCUGCGAUCUCAAGGCAGCAAUGGGGAGCCAGAAGAGAACCCAGGCCUCACCCCGUCCCUGGGGGACAUUUAGUACACGACAACACACAGCCGUUUGGGGUGGGGGCCGCAGGGCAGGACGUGGCCCCGGAGGAGAGCCAGCAGGUACACUUCAGAGGAGUUCAACUGCAUUGCUAAAUAUAUUUUCCCAGCUGACUGAGGAGGGCAGUCAGCGUCACCCAGAUGGAAAGCCUGGAGCCCUGAAGCCGGAAGGCUGUCCUUGCAACGACAGAAUGCUGCUUGCUCCUCACGGCAACGGCGGAUCUCAGUCCUCCCUACGAACCUGCAUCGUAAAUAAUGCAGCAACAGUAGAGCAAGAAAAUGUCCUAAAUAGAUGCUGGGGGCAUGAAGGUGAUGUAAAUAAUGAUGGUGAUGACAGAGAAGCAUCACAGAGAGAAACCCGAAAUCCUUGCCGUCGUGAAAAGAACCCUAUUCAUCACCCUGCUGAACCCUCUUGCCAGUUCCCCCCACAGAAGUGGAUACUAAUAUCAUAUUAAAUACAACGAAAUAUAUUAUUAUUUUAUUUAUCCUUUUCCC